AUUGAACGCUGGCGGCAGGCCUUACACAUGCAAGUCGAACGAGUGGCGGACGGGUGAGUAAUGUCUGGGAAACUGCCCGAUGGCGGGGGAUAACUACUGGAAACGGUAGCUAAUACCGCCUACUAUCGGAUGUGCCCAGAGGGGAUUAGCUAGUGGGUGGGGGAAGGGCUCACCUAGGCGACGAUCCAUAGCUGGUCUGAGAGGAUGACCAGCCACACUGGGACGGAGACACGGUCCAGACGCGUACGGGAGGCAGCAGUGGGGAAUAUUGCACAAUGGGGGCAAGCCUGAUGCAGCCAUGCCGCGUGUAUGAAGAAGGCCUUCGGGUUGUAAAGUACUUUCGGCAGGGAGGCGUUACCCGCAGAAGAAGCACCGGCUAACUCCGUGCCAGCAGCCGCGGUAAUAC
rnacentral:rRNA from 1 species